rnacentral:tRNA from 1 species
GCGCACGUAGCCCAAUCGGCAGAGGCGUCGGGCCGAGAUCCUGAACAGUGCUGGUUCGAAUCCAGCCGUGCAUACCA